rnacentral:rRNA from 1 species
AAUCAACGCUGGCGGCGUGCCUAACACAUGCUAGUCGAACGCGACUUGGGCUUCGGUCCAAGUUGAGUGGCGAACGGGUGAGUAACACGUGGGUGACCUACCUUCGAGUGGGGGAUAACGUCCCGAAAGGGACGCUAAUACCGCAUAACAUCCUGCCUUUGAACAGGUGGAGAUCAAAGCCGGGGAUCGCAAGACCUGGCGCUUGAUGAGGGGCCCGCGCCUGAUUAGCUAGUUGGUGGGGUAAUGGCUCACCAAGGCGACGAUCAGUAUCCGGCCUGAGAGGGCGGACGGACACACUGGGACUGAGACACGGCCCAGACUCCUACGGGAGGCAGCAGUGGGGAAUUGUUCGCAAUGGGCGCAAGCCUGACGACGCAACGCCGCGUGGAGGAUGAAGGUCUUCGGAUUGUAAACUCCUGUUGCUCGGGCGAAAAGCUUCGACCUAACACGUCGAAGUCUGACGGUACCGAGUGAGGAAGCCCCGGGNUAACUCUGUGCCAGCAGCCG